rnacentral:rRNA from 1 species
UGGGGAAUAUUGGACAAUGGGCGCAAGCCUGAUCCAGCCAUGCCGCGUGAACGAUGAAGGCCUUAGGGUUGUAAAGUUCUUUUGUCAGGGAAGAUAAUGACGGUACCUGAAGAAUAAGCACCGGCUAACUUCGUGCCAGCAGCCGCGGUAAUACGAAGGGUGCUAGCGUUGUUCGGAAUCACUGGGCGUAAAGCGCGCGUAGGCGGCUUAACAAGUCAGAGGUGAAAGCCUGGAGCUCAACUCCAGAACUGCCUUUGAAACUGUUAAGCUUGAGUGUCGGAGGGGAUAGCGGAAUUUCUAAUGUAGAGGUGAAAUUCGUAGAUAUUAGAAGGAACACCGGUGGCGAAGGCGGCUAUCUGGACGACAACUGACGCUGAGGCGCGAAAGCGUGGGGAUCAAACAGGAUUAGAUACCCAUGUAGUCCCUGAGCGGGCUGGCAAGGCGCAU